rnacentral:lncRNA from 1 species
GAGAAAUGAGCAAUAGAAUGAAAGUUGUUUGCAUAUAGUAUAUUUUUUAUUUGAUAAAAAUAUUGUUCUUACAAAAUGAAAGCUUUAUUUUAUUUUAUUUUAUUUUAUUGAUAAAGAAAGAAUCUUUUCCAUUCAUUUAGAAAAGAUGAUACAGUAGCUAUUUUGGCCAAAAUAUAAGCCUGGACAUUGCACAAUCUUGGGAUGUGUUGAAAUCUGACUUUCUGGAACAACUCGCUCUGGUUUUAGAUUUCAGAAAUUACCCAAGAAAUUUCAGCUUUGCUUCCUUUCUUAUUGUUAACCAAAUCAACAACUUCAUUUGCUGCCUUUAGCCCUCAUGUCAUAGCUCCAGCCUCCACAUAUGCCACAUCCUUGCAUAAUUAUGAUGUCUUGACAGCUACUAUACUUGUCUUGCUAUUUGAAUCCCUUUUGACCACUUCCAAUCCUACUUGUUUGAUUUUGUUUAUCAAUUGUUGCAUCAACAUUGAUCUUGAAGGCAUUUCUUGGUGGAGGAUGUUGUUUACACUAGCCUUGAGCAAAGGCGAACCAUAUUUAAUAAUGAAGAAACUCAACUAUAGUACACAAGUAAUCUAUGCUCUAGGCAAGCUAUUCUUCAUAGGCUAGUAUAUAGCAAACCCAAAAUUUCUCCACAACUAUAACAUUAAAUUCCAAUAGUAUCAAAUCAUUAUAGAUUCAUAUUUAAUCGGCAAACAAAACUCCGUAACUACAAUUUUGAGUAAUGCAGAUAAUCUAACAAAAAUUUAGUCUUGACCAGCUCACAUAAUCCUCCAUAGACCAAGUAUAACACAUUUGAUUCAUUAACCUUUGUUCCUUCUCCACAUUUGAGCGUGUAUAAUAUUUAGACAACAUUCUUUUGUAGCAUCUCAUUUUUGUCAGGCUGCAAAAAAAUAUAAAAAAAAUUCAAUAAGUGAAAUAUAGUGAAAAAACAAUUCCUUUCAACAGCUUCAGCAUAAAACAAAUUAGUACUACAUUUUAUCAAACAGGUGGUGGACAUCAGAAAAUUAUAAACUUAUUUAUUUAGUAAGAAGAUGGGACUAUUCCCACUUUUUUGUUUACUUUGUGUUGCAAAAACAUCUCAACAAAUCUAUAAAAAAAUAAAAUAAAAUAAAAUCUUAGCAAAUAACAAUAGGUUUCUCAUAAGAAAAAUUCAAACUUUUGGCACAAGAAUGUUAAUAAUCUCAACAAUGAAGAGAUUGAUGCUAAAUCAAUACUAUGUGAGCGAUUAUCACAUCUAGCUAACAGAAUUUUAACUUCUUACCUUGAUAUUGUCAGGCGAUUUGGAUGUUUUCCAUUUUGAAGAUUUAGAUUUCUUUAUGAAUUUGACGAAACUUUAAUUUUGAAAGAGAGAGUGAGGUUUCACCGCGUUUUGGAAGGUGGGUUUUGGAAAGUGAGGAUGGCGUUCAAAUAAAAAAUUAAUUACCAAUAAAUCUUGGCCAUCGGAUUUAAUAAUGCC